rnacentral:rRNA from 1 species
AGAAUUUGAUCUUGGUUCAGGAUGAACGCUGGCGGCGUGCCUAAUACAUGCAAGUGAAACGGGUAUCUUCGGAUACCAGUCGCGGACGGGUGAGUAAUACAUAGGCAACCUGCCUUUAUGAGGGGGAUAACCGAGGGAAACUUUGGCUAAUACCGCAUGAAGACUCUAAGGCAUCUUAGAGGGAUAAAAGUUGGGAAACAACGCAUGAAGAUGGGCUUAUGGCGCAUUAGCUAGUUGGUGAGAUAGAAGCCCACCAAGGUAAUGAUGCGUAGCCGACCUGAGAGGGUGAACGGCCACAUUGGGACUGAGACACGGCCCAAACUCCUACGGGAGGCAGCAGUAGGGAAUUUUCGGCAAUGGGGGGAACCCUGACCGAGCAACGCCGCGUGAAAGGAAGAAGGUUUUCGGAUUGUAAACUUCUGUUAUAAGGGAAGAACGGAUUGGAUAGGGAAUGAUCUGAUAGUGACGGUACCUUAUUAGAAAGCCACGGCUAACUGCGUGCCAGCCGCCGC